rnacentral:rRNA from 1 species
CCUACGGGGGGCAGCAGUGAGGAAUAUUGGUCAAUGGACGAGAGUCUGAACCAGCCAAGUAGCGUGAAGGAUGACUGCCCUAUGGGUUGUAAACUUCUCUUAUAUGGGAAUAAAACGUUCCACGUGUGGGAUUUUGUAUGUACCAUAUGAAUAAGGAUCGGCUAACUCCGUGCCAGCAGCCGCGGUAAUACGGAGGAUCCGAGCGUUAUCCGGAUUUAUUGGGUUUAAAGGGAGCGUAGGUGGAUUGUUAAGUCAGUUGUGAAAGUUUGCGGCUCAACCGUAAAAUUGCAGUUGAAACUGGCAGUCUUGAGUACAGUAGAGGUGGGCGGAAUUCGUGGUGUAGCGGUGAAAUGCUUAGAUAUCACGAAGAACUCCGAUUGCGAAGGCAGUUCACUGGACUGCAACUGACACUGAGGCUCGAAAGUGUGGGUAUCAAACAGGAUUAGAUACCCUAGUAGUC